rnacentral:rRNA from 1 species
GACGAACGCUGGCGGCGUGCUUAACACAUGCAAGUCGAACGGUGAAGCGCCUUCCUUUUUGGUGGGUGUGGAUGAGUGGCGAACGGGUGAGUAACACGUGAGUAACCUGCCCCCUUCUUCUGGAUAACCGCAUGAAAGUGUGGCUAAUACGGGAUAUUCUGGGUCUGUCGCAUGAUGGGUCUGGGAAAGAUAUUGUUUCGGUGGGGGAUGGGCUCGCGGCCUAUCAGCUUGUUGGUGGGGUGAUGGCCUACCAAGGCGGUGACGUGUAGCCGGCCUGAGAGGGUGGACGGUCACACUGGGACUGAGACACGGCCCAGACUCCUACGGGAGGCAGCAGUGGGGAAUAGUGCACAAUGGGCGCAAGCCUGAUGCAGCGACGCCGCGUGAGGGAUGGAGGCCUUCGGGUUGUGAACCUCUUUCGCCAGUGAAGCAGGCCUGCCUCGUUUGUGGGUGGGUUGACGGUAGCUGGAUAAGAAGCGCCGGCUAACUACGUG